AAGGUGGAGCUGAAAGUUUUAAAGAAGGAGGAGAAGAAGAGAAGAGAAGGAGGAUGGAGGGAGAAGAAGAUGGAGGAAGGUCUUGGGUGACCUCUGUGAAAGAGUCUUUCAACCUCUCAAAGCAGUCAUGACUACAGAUGGAGAACCAUUGCUCUACACAGUACAAUCACAAUUUCCCCAUUUGGGAACUGGAUUGAUCUGAAUAUCUGGAUUUACUGCAUGGUCAUCGUAAGAAAAUCAGUGUUGUAAUGGCACAAAGACAGACAUAUAAGCCAAGAGAAUAGAACAGCAGAUCCAGAAGCAGUCAUCUGAUUCUUGACGAAAGUUGGCAACAGUAUGUGGGAGAAAAGACGACAUCUGUAGCAAAUGAUGCUCGAAAAAUUGGGAUAUCCACCCGUUGAAGAAUAAACCUACACACAUAGCUCUCUGAAAAAAAUUUUUUUUACAUAAAAUGGAUUAAAGACCUUAAUGUACAAACAGAAACAGGCCUUGGUGAAUAGUCAAGUGUUUGUUGUGCAAACAUAGGGUCUAUUAAAAGCUGGGGAUGGUG
ensembl:lincRNA Gm42530 predicted gene 42530